UUACCAACGAUGCAGCAUCAGUUUAUUCCGGUAUUUGAACAUGAGUUUCUAACAAGUACUGUAGAUGAACUCAAAAUGCUAAGCUUACAUUCGAAUAACUAUGAAGACGAAGAGCUAUUUCUAGUGCAAGAAAAUAACAUCGAGCCCCAGACAAUAUUAGUAGAUGAUGUUCCUAAUAAUUUAAUAGAUGAUGGUGUUCAAACGGAGCAAGACUUGAUAGAACCACCUUUCAGUCAACACGCCUGUAAGGAUUCGAAGAAUCUACAAGAAAUCGAAGCUCCAAAAUUGCCACCGUUUUGGUUGUAUAUACCCGAGCCCAAUGGAUUUGUAUUUAUGCGAAUGGAUCCAACAACUCAGCAGAUCAAAAUUCGGUUACGCUUAAACAAGGAUACAUCUAUUACGGUUCUUUUUCCUAACAAUGACUAACUGCCUCUAAACGAAAAAAUUAAUUCAUUAAGUUGUAUCUAUGACUACUUGAAAUCAGUGGAAUGAUGGCCUUUAUGUGUUGGUACUCAAAUUGACAGUAUAAAGUAUUCAAAACUUUGUAAAAAUGUGAUUGUUGGUGAUGACACUUAUAAAAGGAACCAAGCUAAUCCAAGAUGUAAACCUUGUCGAAUAUUACGGAAUCGAUUGCAGAGUCGAAAUUCGACUUCAAUUAAUUUGGAAACAACAAUUGCUAAAAAAAGACGUGCUUCAAAUCUAGUUAGGCAAUGCAAACGUUUAAAAAAAAUGGCAAACCUCCCAAUUUAUACAAUUUCAAUGGCUACACAGUGCAUUACAAAUUGAUUAUCAUUAGGAAACAUUUCCUACUGGAUAAUAUUAAUAUAUGUAUUUGCGAGAGUAUGCAAAUAUAAUAUUACUUGAUAA